CGCCAUAUUAUAUUGCAACCACCGAGUAACCAUGCCCGGAAUUUUGGAUUUUUAGUUUUUUCUGCAUAUAUAUUUUCUGAGCCCUAAUACUUUAUUGUGAGAAUAUUAUUCGUCGCUUCUAGGGAUUUACUAUGGAAAAUACAGUGAAACAUAAUGUGAAGAGAUAUCAAAAAUGUACUAUUUGUGGUCUAAAGAGGACCCCUGGACUGGAGCCAAUGUAUUUUUGAAGAAGUUUCCA